CCUACGGGAUGCAGCAGUGAGGAAUAUUGGUCAAUGGACGAGAGUCUGAACCAGCCAAGUCGCGUGAAGGAUGACUGCCCUAUGGGUUGUAAACUUCUUUUAUAAAGGAAUAAAACGAGGCACGUGUGCCUUUUUGCAUGUACUUUAUGAUUAAGGAUCGGCUAACUCCGUGCCAGCAGCCGCGGUAAUACGGCGGAUCCGAGCGUUAUCCGGAUUUAUUGGGUUUAAAGGGAGCGUAGAUGGGUUGUUAAGUCAGUUGUUAAAGUUUGCGGCUCAAGCGUAAAAUUGCAAUUGAUACUGGCAGUCUUGAGUACAGUUGAGGUAGGCGGAAUUCGUGGUGUAGCGGUGAAAUGCUUAGAUAUCACGAAGAACCCCGAUUGCGAAGGCAGCUUACUAAACUGUGACUGACAUUGAUGCUCGAAAGUGUGGGUAUCAAACAGGAUUAGAUACCCGGGUAGUC
rnacentral:rRNA from 1 species